rnacentral:lncRNA from 10 species
UGUGUGUGUGUGUGUGCGUGUGAGAGAGAGAUUAGAGGGCGGGGAGGGGAGAAGAGAGGAAGCAAGCUAACCGGAGAGAGAGCAGCUUGAGCUGAGCUUUCACUCACCGUCCACCACUGCUGUUUGCUGCCAUCGCAGACUUGCCACUGACUUCCACCCCUCCAGAUCCAGCAGGGUGUCUGCUGCUCUCCUGAUCCAGCGAGGUGCUCAUUGCCACUCCUGAUCGGGCUAAAGGCUCUCUAUCGUUCCUGCACAGCUAAGUGCCCGGGUUUGUCCUAAUUGAGCUGAACACUAGUCUCUCGGUUCCAUGGUUCUCUUCCGUGACCCAUGGCUUCUAAUAGAGCUAUAACACUCACUGCAUGGCCCAAGGUUCCAUUCCUUGGAAUCCAUGAGUCCAAGAACCCCAGGUCAGAGAACAAAAGGCUUGCUGCCAUCUUGGGAGUGGCCCGCCACAUCUUGGGAGAGCUAAGAACAAAGACCUGCCCGUAACAUUUGGUGGUAACCGUAUGGGAAUUCUCCAAAGCAGUCAUGGGUUUUGAAAUCUCACGUUAUUUGACAACACCUUCAAGAGAAGAAGAGUUAUGCCUGACUACUACUGGCAUUGUAGAUGGCAGAAUAUCUCAGGAUCAUUGUCAACAUUUUACAUGGUGCCGAGAUGUAUAAAGUUUAAAGUGAGGCUGGGCGCAGUGGCUCAUGCCUGUAAUCCCAGCACUUUGGGAGGCUGAGGCAGCCGGAUCAUUUGAGGUGAGGAGUUCGAGACCAGCCUGACCACAUGGUGAAACCCUGUCUCUACUAAAAAUACAAAAAUUAGCUGGGUGU